rnacentral:rRNA from 1 species
GCGGCGUGAUAAGCCGGUUGUGAAAGCCCCGGGCUCAACCUGGGAACGGCAUCCGGAACUGUCAGGCUAGAGUGCAGGAGAGGAAGGUAGAAUUCCCGGUGUAGCGGUGAAAUGCGUAGAGAUCGGGAGGAAUACCAGUGGCGAAGGCGGCCUUCUGGACUGACACUGACGCUGAGGUGCGAAAGCGUGGGUAGCAAACAGGAUUAGAUACCCUGGUAGUCCACGCCGUAAACGAUGUCGACUAGCCGUUGGGGUCCUUGAGACCUUUGUGGCGCAGUUAACGCGAUAAGUCGACCGCCUGGGGAGUACGGCCGCAAGGUUAAAACUCAAAUGAAUUGACGGGGGCCCGCACAAGCGGUGGAGCAUGUGGUUUAAUUCGAUGCAACGCGAAGAACCUUACCUACCCUUGACAUCGUGCGAACUUUCCAGAGAUGGAUUGGUGCCUUCGGGAGCGCACAGACAGGUGCUGCAUGGCUGUCGUCAGCUCGUGUUGUGAAAUGUUGGGUUAAGUCCCGUAACGAGCGCAACCCUUGUCCCUAUUUGCCAGCGAUUCGGUCGGGAACUCUAGGGAGACUGCCGGUGACAAACCGGAGGAAGGUGGGGACGACGUCAAGUCAUCAUGGCCCUUACGGGUAGGGCUACACACGUGCUACAAUGGCCCGGUACAAAGGGUUGCGAAGCCGCGAGGUGGAGCUAAUCCCGGAAAGCCGGGUCUCAGUCCGGAUCGGAGUCUGCAACUCGACUCCGUGAAGUCGGAAUCGCUAGUAAUCGUGAAUCAGAAUGUCACGGUGAAUACGUUCCCGGGCCUUGUACACACCGCCCGUCACACCAUGGGAGUGGACUGCACCAGAAGUGGUUAGC